rnacentral:hammerhead_ribozyme from 1 species
AUUCAACUGACGAGUCCGAAAUAGAAAGAAACGCUCGCCCUGAAU